UAACCAUCCAAAAUCCCAUUGAAUUAUGGGGAGCGUGCCAUUACUCUUUGAUCCAGACCGUUGAUAUGAUGAUGUCUGCCUUCCAAUCUUCAAUAUGGGGCCCAGUUGAAGUGGCUCGACGACGCCUACCUGACUCAGGUAGGUUAAAUGAGAAAGGAUUCGGUGAGUCCAUUGAGGACGAUAUUUUCAUACCUCCACGUCUACCAACCCUUUCCAAUUAGAAUGGGUUCAGUGCAUUGCCUCCACAUCUUAUGCUAUUAUGUGCAACCUUGUUUUUUUUUGUUUUUUUGAAAGGUAACGCUAUACGGGAAUGAAUCUUAGAUCACUCACACAAGCUCUCUACCAGCAAUGGAUGUGCAACCUUCAUAUUUUAGCAGUGUGAUGAUGAUACACGUUGAUUAUAAUUCAAUUUGAAUCACUCAAA